CUAUCGAUCUACCUAUCUUUUUUUUAAGUGUCAGUGAUUUUCUUUCCAUCCAAGUGUUUGAUGUCAUUUUUAGAUUAAAUUAAUUGACGCUCCAUAUUCAAUUCAAGUUAAGCCGGAAAGAUGCCCUCUCCAAAAUGGCGGCGCUGUUAACGUGCAUCACGUGGUAUAUAUUCUCGCGAGAUUUCAUUUGUGGGUUGUUUCUUCGCCGGUUGUGUGUGAGACAUCUGUUUAGCUAAUCUUCUAGGUUAAGUUAAUGCGAAGAAAAUGAAUAGAUUGUUUGUAAAACAUGACGUUUAAGAGUAAAAUAAUUAACAUUUUCAUAACGUGAUGUGAUGACAGGUUAGCGUUAAUCAGCUGUGUGUGUGUUAACAGUCACCUGAGCUUGAUUUUCACUUUCAUUUUAUUAAUAGCUACUUUAAUAUGCUAAUGAGUUUCUUUAGAUUUUUUUUUUUAAAUGUAUUUCAUUUUGGCUUUAUAAAUCUAUAUAAUUAGGACUCGACUUGGCUAGUAAUCAGUUAGCAGCUCAGUGUUGCCUGCUCUCCUCAGGGGAAAGUAUAAUAAUAUAUUAUUAAUGCAUGCUGUAGAAGUCUCCGGAUGAUGUCAUAGACUAAUUUGCAUAUGCACUGAUGGCCAUAAUCAUUUGCAUAUCAGAACGUGUUACAUGAAGAUUUUCUGAAGACACUUAGUAUAGAAUAGACUUUGAUAGAAAGAAGUUGUUUCUAGUCUUUCGCUUUUUCUCUCGCUCUUGCUCUCGCUCUUUCAAUCACCUCACCAUGUUUUGCACUCUAUGAUACGAGGUCCACAGGGCGACGCCCGCUACUGACCACAGUGACUCAGAUGAUGAGCAGAAACCUUGGUGCGGAAAGGAGACCUCCAGGUUGUCAGUGUUUGUGAGGUUGGUGGAGGGACGCCAAGCUCUGUUGGACACGGUGGACCAACAGGACGGAGAGCUCCAAACGAAGCCCACGACCGAUAACUCGGGCCUACUAGUGUCCAAGUGCUGCACCAGGCAGGGUUCUGCACUGUUUCAGCUGGACCGGGAGUCGCAGUGUGGGCGUCGGCGUGUGGGCAGCAGGUCCAGGUCAUCUCCGUGGUGAGGAAUUUUAAUUUCAAAUGAAAUGAAAGUUGCUUCAACGACAGUCUGUCACGUUUAACGCUUAUCUCAGAUUAGUGACGAGCAGAGAGCCGUCACGCCGCAUGGCCCGGUGUGAUUACUGAGGAGCGGCCCUUAUUUACUUGUACAGUUUGUGUGCACACUCCAUCGACACUGGCAAUGCAAGCACUUAGUAUUUAAACUCGUUUCUAUAAUUUCCCGCAUAGUAAACAGUUCACUCGGCUUUCCUGGCUGUUGGAUGGUCAUGACUGAUUCCAGACAGGACGUUUGUCUUCUUUAAGUCCAGGUGCUACAGACUGAAAAUCAUGAAAUUGCCUUCAACUGUUUCACAUUCUGGGGUACUUUUGCACAGUAUACAAUAUAUUAAAAUGAAGUAAACAUCCAUAGAGAUAAUGAAUGAAUGAAUGAACAAAUGAAUUAAACCUAUACACAUGUGUAGAAGUUGUGAAGGACAGGUGUUUUCAAGUCCCUCUAUAUGAAAUUAUAUAGGCUAUCACUGUAAAUCUUUAUCUCCUAAAACACAACAUUGUCCAUGACGUCAUGAUUUAUGAAAAAAUUCCCCCUUUUUUCUUUCUUUUAUGGUUAUAUGAUAACCAUAUAUGAUUAUAUGAUUAAAAUAUAAAAUAAGAAAUAAGCUUGAACAAUAAACAGAGUUUUUUUUAAUGAACUCCUGAGUGAAAUAUUUGUCGAA